UACGAAGGGGGCUAGCGUUGCUCGGAUUGACUGGGCGUAAAGGGCGCGUAGGCGGUUCGUACAGUCAGACGUGAAAUUCCUGGGCUCAACCUGGGGGCUGCGUUUGAUACGUGCGGACUUGAGUGCGGAAGAGGGUCGUGGAAUUCCCAGUGUAGAGGUGAAAUUCGUAGAUAUUGGGAAGAACACCGGUGGCGAAGGCGCCACUCUGGGCCGAAACUGACGCUGAGGAGCGAAAGCGUGGGUAGCGAACAGG
rnacentral:rRNA from 1 species